rnacentral:misc_RNA from 1 species
CCGUUGGUGAACCAGCGGAGGGAUCAUUACCGAGUUUACAACUCCCAAACCCCUGUGAACAUACCAUUUGUUGCCUCGGCGGUGCCUGCUUCGGCAGCCCGCCAGAGGACCCAAACCCUUGAUUUUAUACAGUAUCUUCUGAGUAAAUGAUUAAAUAAAUCAGAACUUUCAACAACGGAUCUCUUGGUUCUG